AGAUUUCCAAUGCCGCUUCCUUUCCUCCGUCGUGCUCUCCCCAGUCCCCUCCGCCUCCGGUCUCCAUAACCUAGCCGUCCCUCUCCUCGGUGCAGCGGUGCCCGGACGCUGGAGCGACCUCAAGUGCUCGACAGGCGUCACGGGACACGACGCUCACCGCUCGCUGUCGCUGGUGGACUACGGACGACUGGAACUGGAUUGCUGUGGAGAACUGGAUUGCUGACUGCUGUGGAGAAUUUGGACUUUGAAGCCUGAAGUCUAAACCAUCUGUGAAGUUCGAACUAUAUUUUCUUGUGAAUUUGUGAUGCAAUGCAAUGGCACUUGGCGGCUGUCACUGACAGGCAGCACCGAAGCAGGCUUAAUGCCUUGCAGCCUUGCACUUUUGUAUCAUGUUGUCAUCGAGUACUCAGUACAUUAGUAUUAGUAGGUAGUACCUGUCGGCUGUAUUGGUUCUUGAAUUCUUGCUCCUCUGCAUAAGUUUUAUUCUCUAUACUAGAUUAUGAUCUUACGAUGUUCUGUUAGUAGUAAUUCAUUAAUCUGCGUUUUGUUCAGGAGUUGUUGCUUUCUGUAUGCAUUUUGUUCUUGUUACAAUGUGCAUUCAGAUACGGAGGUACUUGUGCUUUUUAUAUUUCGGGUAAAUUGGGUAUACCCGAACCCGAACCCGCAAUUGCGGGUACCCGAAAUUGCGGGUAGUGUUUUUCAAAAGCUGUGAUCGGGUAACAAUUUCUAUUACCCGAAUUUAACGAAACCCGAACUACCCGACCCGAACUAAUCAGGUAACCCGAACGCCCAGUCUUAAGGGGGUGUUUGGUUGCUCCUGCUAAAGUUUAGCCCGGGUCACAUCAAGCGUUUGACUUUUAAAUAGGAGUAUGAAAUAUAGACCCAACCAACUGGACUAGAUUCGUCUCGUCUUUUAAUCUUCGGCUGACAAAUUAGUUUUAUAAUCCGACUACAUUUAAUACCCGGAACGGAGGUUCAAACAUUCGAUGGGACAGGAGCUAAAUUUUAGCGGGGUGUAACCAAAUCACAUUCCUUCACCAUGCGUCAUUGCUUGCCAUGUCACCAGUAUCUUCUUUUUGAGAAAUCUUAACAGUAUCUGAUCUACCUUUUUGAAACUAGGGCUGCUGAACACGCUGCAGCUUGUGGACAUUCCUAGAUACUUGCAUAGUUACCGCGUCCCCUGAGCUUAGGUAGAUUAUAGGGUUUACUCCAACCCAGGAUGUGAUGGUUUUGGAAAAUAGAUAGCUAAUGUACAAGACUGGAUGCUUUAGAAAAAAAUUAGCGAAGAAGCACAAUCAAUCUUAGGUCUUGGGAUCUCUAUAGGACAUUCAAAAUAAGUAGUAUUUUUUAAUGUUUAUGUACUUUGGGUCAGAGGCUAGGACUAAAAUGAUUAGUCCCUGCUACGUUAUUCUCUAGUGAGAUAAGGGGAUAUAAGGGAUUCGUGUUGUAUGGGACCAUUAUUUCUCUUUCUUUAAUGCAAAGAUAUGGAAAUCCCCUGCAUGUUCAGGAGAGGGGGGGGGAUCGGCCAGGAGAACACAAUAGCAGAAAUAUAUGGUGCAAACUGCAAAGGCAUUAUUUGCAUUGAAGUAGAAAACACUGCACAUACACCUGCAGAUGCCUGUAUUCGUACAUGUAGAUUAACUUCUCUUGUACUCGGCAAUUGAAUUUCAUACACACGAAUCAAUCUUAAAUGGCUAAUGCUAACUUCGUGGUCUAUUUUGCAGAGGCAUACAAGAGUGGAGAACUGCAGGAAACUCUAGAGAAAGCAAUGUGUUCGUAGAAAAAAAAUGAACAAUAAGCAGAUGGCAUACAAUUAAUCAAAAUGUUAUAGUAUUUGCUGUACAAUUCAGGCUUGUCAUCAACUGGAGAUGCAAGUUGUGGAUAAUUCAUGUCCAAAUGUUCAGUGCACUUUCGACUGGAAAUACAUCUUUCUGCAGUUUGUGACUAGUCAUCCAGUUUGAACCCCGAUCAUAUAUUGUACGAUUUGUGACUACCAGAUUGCUCCGUUUUCAGCUGCAACUACCGCGUCCGCCCGCGUGCAAUUCCAUGACCGUGUCGGUAGAGCCGUGGGCCUGUUUGGUUCAGGUUUUUUCUGACCAGCUUUUCUGAGAAUUUGGCUGUGGGGAGAAUCUGACUGUGUAGAGAAUCUAAGUAUUAUUAGGAUUACGUGCG
rnacentral:lncRNA from 7 species